rnacentral:rRNA from 1 species
GACAGAGGGUGCAAACGUUUGUUCGGAAUUACUGGGCGUAAAGCGCGUGUAGGCGGCUAAGUAAGUCGGGCGUGAAAUCCCACGGCUCAACCGUGGAAGUGCACUCGAAACUGCAUAGCUAGAGUCCUGGAGAGGAAGGUGGAAUGCUUGGUGUAGAGGUGAAAUUCGUAGAUAUCAAGCGGAACACCGGUGGCGAAGGCGGCCUUCUGGACAGUGACUGACGCUGAGACGGCGAAAGCGUGGGGAGCAAACAGGG